GAACACCCCACAGCCGAAAAGUUUUCUUUUUUGUUCUCUUUUCAGCAUGGAAUAAACCUUUACUUGUUCCUUUGCCUCCUAUGCUUGCUGACCCAGCUACUCGCUUGAACUUCAUCAUUGUAGUUGUGUUUCUUAGUGAACAGCUGAUCAGCAUAAUGUAUUUAGAGUGUACAAGUAGGAAGUGUAGAUAUACCUUUGUUGAGAUUAAUAUUACUGUAACUUGCUAAUUAACAUCUUUCUUUUUAAAGGGCAGUUUUAAAAUCCCAUUCUUCCUUGAAGUGUCCUGGUGAACACAGAGGCAUGUGGUUGUUCUAUUUUUAAUAGGCAUCACUCCUUGUUGUCUGCUAGGUACAGUACGAAAAGACAAGUAUGAGCCACGUAGCAGCAAAUAUGGACUUAUGAGGUUGCAGAGCUGAAAGACUCAUGCUUUACACUAUUUGAUCAAAUUGCACCAAUGGUAUUGUUGAAUGAAGGAGAAGAAGCAUGUUCAGGCAAUGGCGUGCAACUAUCCACUGUUACAAUACUCAAGAAGCACUACCAGUUCACAGAGAGCACAAGUGAUUGGCCCUGAUACUGUUACCUGUGUAUAAGAGCCAAGGAAGGACCACCUCAGGUAUUGGCUCUCUGCAAUAAAAGCUGUUGCUGCUAACACAUUUGUGCACCAAGGAAUAUCCAUACAUUCAUUUGCAAACUGCUUUAUCCAAUUCAGGGGGUGUGGUGGAGCUGGAGUCUAUCCAUGCAAGCAACAGGUACAAGGUCUGGUACAGACACACACACACCAGGCCAUUUUUCCCCAAAAACCUACCAGUAGGUUUUUGGAUGGUGGAGGGAAACCCACACAGACACAGCGAGAACAUACAAAUCCACACAGGUACUGUAGCACCACGAGUCUGGAAUUGAAUUCCGGGCCCAUUUAGGGAAUACCCAUGAACCUGAAUACAAUUGUUAUAGCACCUGUUAAAUGGUACAUGCAUGUCAGGAUACGCAACCAUGAAAUACCAUUACUUAUGAAUCAGUUACUUCAGAGAGACAUGGCUUAAAUUUGUCAUGUGGCCCAUAGCUCAAGUCACUUUUGUCUUUGCUGUAUCAGUACCUAAAUUUAUCUCACCUUAUUUUUAUAAGUGAUUUUUGGGGGAUUGCAUUUUAAGUUUUUCAGUAUAUUAUGAACCUGAAUUUCUGUCUUUUUUUUCCACUGAGGACCUCCAUAGCUUUUUCAGUGAUUAAUCUAUAAUAAAUUCAGACAUGUUUAUAAUGUUCUUAGUAACUUUGCUGUUCUAUAUCAAUUGUAAGACUUCAAAAUUUACACAAAACUGGAAAAAUAUACAUUUUGUUGCUUUCUUGCAGCUGUAACUUAGCAAUACUUUAUUCAUUUUGCAUACCUCAACUCAUUAGUAUUUAAUUUUAACACUUUUAGGAAGUAUUACAUCUGGUGUGUUUUACAAUAAAUUAAAUAUCUACCUCAACUCUGCUAGUGAUAAAAACUAUUUAGACAAAAUUACCACAGUACAUUUUAAAAAUGUCCUUUACAAUUUGUUCUUCAUAAAAAUGAUUUUAGAAAGCUUUGUGAACCUUCAUAGAAUUUAAGAUAAAUAUGCAAGAUAAAGAAUUACUGUAUAUAGUCUUUAAACUCCUUUGCCUGUUCUUUGUAGUCUGAACAUGUUUUAUACAUUGAAAAAAAUCCUUACGUCAUGAUUAGAAGUUUUAAAUGCAAGGUAUUUCAUAUUGCCAAAUGAAUGUGAUAUUAAACCUGAAUGACGAUUUGUGAGCAAUCCUUUGGCUUCUAAAGAAGAAGCCAUACAUUUUCUACUUGUUACCCAUACUGUGUACAUCAUUUUUUCCUUCAGUUCCAUUUAGUCAAAAGGAUCUGAGAAAUGGUUGAAGAAUUUUAAAUACUGUAAAUAAAGAUUUAACAUAGAUGCAUUUUGCUGUUAUAUUAUUUUGAUAGAUGUCCUUUGUAGAAUACACAUUUCUUUUCCAGAUGUUUCAGUAGUUCGUUUUUUUUAAACUGUUGUUUUAGCUGUUUGUCACAUUCUAAUGGGUUCUGGUUUUCCUGAAUGAAUAGUGCAAACUAUACUGCUCAUAGUUAGAAGAGGCACUUCAUCUAUUUUAUAUUUCUGAUGGUACUCAAAGUUUGCGACACACUUCCCUCCUCCCAUUAUUCUUUACUCAUGCACAAGCAUAUUGUAGUGUUCACUCUCCCAGUGAUGGAUAUCCAGGACUGUGCUUUGACCUUUCCCCCUUUUCCACCUGUAAUAAUGCUCACUUUCUUGAAUUUUCCAAUAAAAGAUGGGACCUAUACCCUCUCUCUUCUAAUUCAUGGGUGGCUAGUAAAUGCCAUGACCUUUACCAAUCUCGGUAGCAUGCAAUUGGUAAUUAUUAAGGGCAAUAACCCCAUGUGAACUUGCAGCCGCUCCUCACCUGCUCUUCCACUUCUUACACCUGCCAUCUAAAUGAACGUUUCUACAAUGUUACCAUUAAUUUUAGAAACAGCUUACAGCAUUUCAGUUUUUAACAUGAUUUUGCCGUGAAAUGCAGAGUCAGAUUAUCCCGGCAGAAACUGUUGACCGUAAAAUAAGGAGCUUUGCUCAACCACUCUCAAACGUUCUGAGUUUAUAUACAGUAUGUCAAACUAGAAAAACUUAACUCACACCACAUUAAGUUCCCAAGAGAUACUCUUCUGUUUCAUGUAUACCCCCAAAGUGAAAAGUAGCACUUUGGAUACACCAACUCCUAAAAUAUUGUAUCACACCCGUUAAUGUUUGAAAGGCACACCACUAUGCCCUGGACCAUCAGUUUAUAAACACUGCUUAAGACAUCACUGGGAAACAAUGAAAAAAGAUAACUUCCAGGGAACCAUUAUCAUAAAGGCUCUUACACCUGGUAAGGGUCUUGGCUACCCAGAGAAGGGAGAAGAGCAGUCUCGGGCCUAUUCUCUGCGAUACACUCUGGGUAUAAGACCUGCAUGCCACACUCGGAUUUAAAGCCACACUGCAUGUUUCACUGAAGAAACAGAUGGAAUGAGCCAAAACAUUUCUAUAUUCAAAACCUGAUAAAUGUCAGGUUAGUUAGGAAUGGUGUUUCUUUUUAGUGUGCCAGGGCGCAUUAGAUGUGAUUCCAGUGAUCUCAUGCUGGGAGUAGGGAGUGCAAUUGAAUGUUGAGAUCAUAGUUAACGAGAAUGUUUCUGGGAUGUGGAAGGACCUGGAGGAAAAUUACUCGGCCACAGGGAGGGCAUGCGAACCCCACACAGAUCGCACCCCAAUCUGAGGCAGGCCCACUAGUUCCCCAGACUUUCAGAUGUUGCCAAUACCGAAGCUUUAAGAAAAUGCCCUUUUGCAUGUGGAGGGAUAAUCUGGUUAAAUUUAGCAUUGACCACAUCAACUGAUUCUUGUGCUUAAAUUAAUCCGUAUAGAGCUGUUCAUUUUAAUCCUAUUAUCCUUCUUGAACUGUGAAGAGCAUUUACAGCUUUUCAUAUCUGUGUUUAAAGGACAAGAGGCAAUUACAUAAAGCAAUUGUUAAGGGUUUUAAAUGUGAAUUUAGAAUAUGAAACAAAAUUAAGUAUGAAAUCUAGCUGACAGGUGCAUUCUCAUUACUGUUUCUUGAGGAAUUAGUGCUAAGGCUUCUGGAUAUCCCGAGGUUUAGCCUUUCUUGGUUAUUCAUGAGGUAUGAAGAAGUUCAGCGUGCCAAACUCAACCAUCCUUCAUGUCUUUUCAGUUCCUCCCACACUGUGUUUUAAUUCAACGUCCCUGUUUUGUCUGUGCCUGUUUCCUCAGUGUGGAAUAAGGCAUGUUCCAGUGUCAGUCUCUACUCUCCCAUCUGCCUCUGCACACGAUGACUCAGGACGGAAGGAGAUGGAUCGCUCAGAAGGCCUAAUGUGUCUGGGCACUUUCUCAGUUGUUUCAAAGGUACAGAAUCAGCAACCCAGUUACAAUGAGAGCUGCUGGCACUGCUCCGAUCAGCAACUUCAAGUGCUUAUGUCUGUUUUGUGACUGUCCCGAGCACGUGUUUAUACUCCAACAUCAAGGGGACUCACUCAAGACAAAGUGUAGAAA